rnacentral:rRNA from 1 species
CAGCAGCCGCGGUAAUACGUAGGGGGCGAGCGUUGUCCGGAAUUACUGGGCGUAAAGAGUUCGUAGGCGGUUUGAUAAGUCAGAUGUGAAAGGCGUAGGCUUAACCUAUGUAAGCAUAUGAAACUGUCAGACUUGAGGUAAGGAGAGGAAAGUGGAAUUCCUAGUGUAGCGGUGAAAUGCGUAGAUAUUAGGAGGAAUACCAGUGGCGAAGGCGACUUUCUGGACUUAAACUGACGCUGAGGAACGAAAGCGUGGGGAGCAAACAGGAUUAGAUACCCUGGUAGUCCACGCCGUAAACGAUGAGUGCUAGGUGUCGGGUAGAAAUAUUCGGUGCCGCAGCUAACGCAAUAAGCACUCCGCCUGGGGAGUACGUACGCAAGUAUGAAACUCAAAGGAAUUGAC